AUUGAACGCUGGCGGCAGGCCUAACACAUGCCAGUCGAGCGGAUGAAGGGUGCUUGCUCCUGGAUUCAGCGGCGGACGGGUGAGUAAUGCAUAGGAAUCUGCCUGGUAGUGGGGGAUAACGUCCGGAAACGGGCGCUAAUACCGCAUACGUCCUGCGGGAGAAAGUGGGGGAUCUUCGGACCUCACGCUAUCAGAUGAGCCUAGGUCGGAUUAGCUAGUUGGUGGGGUAAAGGCCUACCAAGGCGAGGAUCCGUAACUGGUCUGAGAGGAUGAUCAGUCACACUGGAACUGAGACACGGUCCAGACUCCUACGGGAGGCAGCAGUGUGGAAUAUUGGACAAUGGGCGAAAGCCUGAUCCAGCCAUGCCGCGUGUGUGAAGAAGGUCUUCGGAUUGUAAAGCACGUUAAGUUGGGAGGAAGGGCAGUAAGUUAAUACCUUGCUGUUUUGACGGUACCAACAGAAUAAGCACCGGCUAACUUCGUG
rnacentral:rRNA from 1 species